rnacentral:rRNA from 1 species
UACGAAGGGGGCUAGCGUUGCUCGGAAUCACUGGGCGUAAAGGGUGCGUAGGCGGGUCUUUAAGUCAGGGGUGAAAUCCUGGAGCUCAACUCCAGAACUGCCUUUGAUACUGAGGAUCUUGAGUUCGGGAGAGGUGAGUGGAACUGCGAGUGUAGAGGUGAAAUUCGUAGAUAUUCGCAAGAACACCAGUGGCGAAGGCGGGUCUCUGGGCCGAUACUGACGCUGAGGAGCGAAAGCGUGGGGAGCAAACAGG